rnacentral:rRNA from 1 species
GUUGAUAAGGUUAAGUGAAUAAGGGCGCACGGUGGAUGCCUUGGCACUAGGAGCCGAUGAAGGACGGGACUAACACCGAUAUGCUUUGGGGAGCUGUACGUAAGCUAUGAUCCAGAGAUUUCCGAAUGGGGGAACCCAACAUCUUUAAUAGGAUGUUACGAUUGUGUGAAUACAUAGCACAUUCGAGGUAGACGCAGAGAACUGAAACAUCUAAGUACCUGCAGGAAGAGAAAGAAAAUUCGAUUCCCUGAGUAGCGGCGAGCGAAACGGGAAAAGCCCAAACCAGCAAGCUUGCUUGUUGGGGUUGUAGGACUCCAAUAUGGUAGUUCUUUCAGAUAGUCGAAUGACUUGGAAAAGUCAGUCAAAGAGGGUAAAAACCCCGUAGACGAAAUGUGGAAGACACCUAGGAGGAUCCUGAGUACGGCGGAACACGAGAAAUUCCGUCGGAAUCCGGGAGGACCAUCUCCCAAGGCUAAAUACUCCCUAGUGACCGAUAGUGAACCAGUACCGUGAGGGAAAGGUGAAAAGCACCCCGGAAGGGGAGUGAAAUAGAACCUGAAACCGUGUGCCUACAACAAGUCAAAGCCCGUUAAUGGGUGAUGGCGUGCCUUUUGUAGAAUGAACCGGCGAGUUACGAUUGCAUGCGAGGUUAAGUUGAAGAGACGGAGCCGCAGCGAAAGCGAGUCUGAAUAGGGCGUUUGAGUAUGUAGUCGUAGACCCGAAACCAUGUGAUCUACCCAUGUCCAGGUUGAAGGUGCGGUAAAACGCACUGGAGGACCGAACCCACGUACGUUGAAAAGUGCGGGGAUGAGGUGUGGGUAGCGGAGAAAUUCCAAACGAACUUGGAGAUAGCUGGUUCUCUCCGAAAUAGCUUUAGGGCUAGCCUCGGAAUUGAGAAUGAUGGAGGUAGAGCACUGUUUGGACUAGGGGCCCAUCUCGGGUUACCGAAUUCAGAUAAACUCCGAAUGCCAUUCAUUCAUAUCCGGGAGUCAGACUGUGAGUGAUAAGAUCCAUAGUCGAAAGGGAAACAGCCCAGACCACCAGCUAAGGUCCCAAAAUAUAUGUUAAGUGGAAAAGGAUGUGGGGUUGCACAGACAACUAGGAUGUUGGCUUAGAAGCAGCCACCAUUUAAAGAGUGCGUAAUAGCUCACUAGUCGAGUGACCCUGCGCCGAAAAUGUACCGGGGCUAAACAUAUUACCGAAGCUGUGGAGUACACCUUUAGGUGUAUUGGUAGGAGAGCGUUCUAAGGGCGUCGAAGGCAGAUCGUGAGGACUGCUGGAGCGCUUAGAAGUGAGAAUGCCGGUAUGAGUAGCGAAAGACAGGUGAGAAUCCUGUCCACCGAAUGACUAAGGUUUCCUGGGGAAGGCUCGUCCGCCCAGGGUUAGUCGGGACCUAAGCCGAGGCCGACAGGCGUAGGCGAUGGAUAACAGGUUGAUAUUCCUGUACCCGUUGUUUUUGUUUGAGCAAUGGAGGGACGCAGGAGGCUAAGGAAUGCAGACGAUCGGAAAUGUCUGUCCAAGCAG